rnacentral:rRNA from 1 species
UACAGAGGGGGCAAGCGUUGUUCGGAAUUACUGGGCGUAAAGGGUGCGUAGGCGGUGGGGCAAGUCAGGUGUGAAAUCCCGGAGCUCAACUCCGGAACUGCACUUGAUACUGCUUUACUAGAGUACUGGAGAGGAGACUGGAAUUUACGGUGUAGCAGUGAAAUGCGUAGAUAUCGUAAGGAAGACCAGUGGCGAAGGCGAGUCUCUGGACAGUUACUGACGCUGAGGCACGAAGGCCAGGGGAGCAAACGGG